rnacentral:rRNA from 1 species
UUUUUGUAUUACGACUAAAGGACCCGAAUUUAGGUGAUCCUAAGAAAUUUAUCAUUCCUCAUUGAAAAGAGGAUUAUUCUAGUAAGCUCUAAAAAAGAAAAUCGAACCUAAAAAACUGAUUUGAUCCAUAUUUAGAAAUUAAAUAAUAUAUUCUAUAACCAAGAGGUUUAAAACAAAGGAUUUUUAAAAAAACCCGGGUAAUAAAACAAAAAAUAUUCUUUGAAUUUUACAUUAUAAUCUUUAGAUCAAAAUAUCAAUUAAAAGAACUCAUGAAAAUAGUAAUCCCCGACUGUUUAACAAAAACAUUUUUUCGAAAAUAGAAAUAGGCCCUGCUCAAUUUAUAGAUCAUAAAUAGCAUAAAUUUGCUAAGGUAGCAUAAUUACUAGUCGCUUAAUUAGCGAAUUGUCUGAACGGGUUAACGAGGGAAAAAUUUUCUUUUGAAAAUUAUAAGAAAGAGGUCAAAUCUCCUCUACCUUUUAAUAAGACGAUAAGACCCUAUAAUCUAAUUUCUUUUCAAAAAUUAAUUGUUGGGGCAACAUAGAGAAAUACACUCUAAUUUAAUUUUUUUACCUGAUUUAAUAUGAUACUAUAGGGAUAACAGCAUAAUAUUUUCAAAAAAGAUCUUAUUUUUUGAGAAGAGUAUGACCUCGAUGUUGAACCAGAGAAAAU